rnacentral:rRNA from 1 species
GACGAACGCUGGCGGCGUGCCUAAUACAUGCAAGUUGAGCGCUGAAGGGUGGUGCUUGUACCAACUGGGUUAGCAGCGAACGGGUGAGUAACGCGUGGGGAAUCUGCCUUUGAGCGGGGGACAACAUUGGGAAACGAAUGCUAAUACCGCAUAAAAACUUUAAACACAAGUUUCAAGUGUGAAAGAUGCAAUUGCAUCACUCAAAGAUGAUCCCGCGUUGUAUUAGGUAAGUGGGGAGGGAAAGGCUCACCAAGGCGAUGAUACAUAAGCGACCUGGGAGGGGGAUCGGCCAACACGGGAAUGAGAACACGGCCCAACUCCCAAGGGAGGCAGCAGUAGGGAAUCCUCGGGAAAUGACGAAAGUCUGAACGAGGCAAGCCGGGUGAGGGAAGAAGGGUUUUGGAUCGUAAAACCCUGUUGGUUGAGAAGAAAGUUGGUGGGAGUGGAAUGCGCACCAAGUGACGGUACCUACCCAGAAAGGGACGGCUAACUACGUG